rnacentral:rRNA from 1 species
AACGAACGCUGGCGGCAGGCUUAACACUUGCAAGUCGAACGCAUCCUUCGGGGUGAGUGGCAGACGGGUGAGUAACGCGUGGGAACGUGCCCUUCAGUUCGGGAUAACCCAGGGAAACUUGGGCUAAUACCGGAGACGUGCGAGAGCAGAAAGAUUUAUCGGUGAAGGAUCGGCCCGUGUCUGAUUAGCUAGUUGGUGAGGUAAUGGCCAACCAAGGAGACGAUCAGUAGCUGGUCUGAGAGGAUGAUCAGCCACAUUGGGACUGGGACACGGCCCAAACUCCUACGGGAGGCAGCAGUGGGGAAUAUUGGACAAUGGGCGCAAGCCUGAUCCAGCAAUGCCGCGGGGGUGAUGAAGGUCUUAGGGUUGUAAAGCUCUUUCGUCCGGGACGAUAAUGACGGUACCGGAAGAAGAAGCCGCGGCUAACUUCGUGCCAGCAGCCGCCGCCG